CGUAGGGUGCGAGCGUUAAUCGGAAUUACUGGGCGUAAAGUGUGCGCAGGCGGCCGCGCAAGUCGAGUGUGAAAGCCCCGAGCUUAACUUGGGAACUGCGCUCGAAACUACGUGGCUGGAGUGUGGCAGAGGAAGGUGGAAUUCCAGGUGUAGCGGUGAAAUGCGUAGAGAUCUGGAGGAACACCGAUGGCGAAGGCAGCCUUCUGGGCCAACACUGACGCUCAUGCACGAAAGCGUGGGGAGCAAACAGGAUUAGAUACCCUGGUAGUCCACGCCCUAAACAAUGAUGACUAGUUGUUGGAGGAGUUAAAUCCUUUAGUAACGCAGCUAACGCGUGAAGUCAUCCGCCUGGGGAGUACGGUCGCAAGAUUA
rnacentral:rRNA from 1 species